UGGGGAAUUUUGGACAAUGGGCGAAAGCCUGAUCCAGCAAUGCCGCGUGUGUGAAGAAGGCCUUCGGGUUGUAAAGCACUUUUGUCCGGAAAGAAAUCCUCUGGGUUAAUACCUCGGGGGGAUGACGGUACCGGAAGAAUAAGCACCGGCUAACUACGUGCCAGCAGCCGCGGUAAUACGUAGGGUGCAAGCGUUAAUCGGAAUUACUGGGCGUAAAGCGUGCGCAGGCGGUUUUGUAAGACGGAUGUGAAAUCCCCGGGCUUAACCUGGGAACUGCAUUCGUGACUGCAAGGCUAGAGUAUGGCAGAGGGGGGUAGAAUUCCACGUGUAGCAGUGAAAUGCGUAGAGAUGUGGAGGAAUACCGAUGGCGAAGGCAGCCCCCUGGGCCAAUACUGACGCUCAUGCACGAAAGCGUGGGGGAGCAAAACAGGAUUAGAUACCCUGGGUAGUCCACGCCCUAAACGAUGUCAACUAGUUGUUGGGGAUUCAUUUCCUUAGUAACGUAGCUAACGCGUGAAGUUGACCGCCUGGGGGAGUACGGUCGCAAGAUUAAAACCUCAAAUGAAUUGACGGGGUCAUAGCUG
rnacentral:rRNA from 1 species